CCCUUAGAUGUUCUGGGCCGCACGCGCGCUACACUGAUGCAUUCAACAAGCCUAGCCUUGACCGAGAGGUCCGGGUAAUCUUUGAAACUGCAUCGUGAUGGGGUUAGAUUAUUGCAAUUAUUAAUCUUCAACGAGGAAUGCCUAGUAAGCGUGAUUCAUCAAAUCGCGUUGAUUACGUCCCUGCCCUUUGUACACACCGCCCGUCGCUCCUACCGAUUGAAUGUGUUGGUGAGGAGCUCGGAUUGGCAGCAGUUGGUGGUUCGCCACCGGCUAUUGCUGAGAAGUCCUCCAAACCGCCCCAUUUAGAGGAAGGAGAAGUCGUAACA
rnacentral:rRNA from 1 species